CGCGGCCUAUCAGCUUGUUGGCGGGGUAAUGGCCCACCAAGGCGACGACGGGUAGCUGGUCUGAGAGGAUGGCCAGCCACAUUGGGACUGAGAGACGGCCCAGACUCCUACGGGAGGCAGCAGUGGGGAAUCUUGCGCAAUGGUCUAACGACUGACGCAGCGGCGCCGCGUGUGGGAGGACGCCUUUCGGGGUGUAAACCACUGUUGCCCGGGACGAACAGCCCUUUUCGAGGGGUCUGACGGUACCGGGUGAGGAAGCACCGGCUAACUCCGUGCCAGCAGCCGCGGUAAUACGGAGGGUGCGAGCGUUGUCCGGAAUCAUUGGGCGUAAAGGGCGCGUAGGUGGCCCAGCAAGCGUGCGGUGAAAGCUCGGGGCUCAACCCCGAGUCGGCCGUGCGAACUGCUGGGCUGGAGCACUGUAGAGGCAGGCGGAAUUCCGGGUGUAGCGGUGGAAUGCGUAGAGAUCCGGAAGAACACCGGUGGCGAAGGCGGCCUGCUGGGCAGUUGCUGACACUGAGGCGCGACAGCGUGGGGAGCAAACAGGAUUAGAUACCCUGGUAGUCCACGCCGUAAACGAUGGGCACUAGGCGCUUGGGGGAGCGACCCCCCGAGGGCCGGCGCUAACGCAUUAAGUGCCCCGCCUGGGGAGUACGG
rnacentral:rRNA from 1 species